rnacentral:rRNA from 1 species
UGAGGAAUAUUGCUCAAUGGGCGAAAGCCUGAAGCAGCGACGCCGCGUGGGUGAAGAAGGUCUUCGGAUCGUAAAGCCCUUUUCUGUGUGACGAGGAAGGACGGUAGCACAGGAAUAAGUGUCGGCUAACUACGUGCCAGCAGCCGCGGUAAAACGUAGGACGCAAGCGUUAUCCGGGAUUACUGGGCGUAAAGCGCGUGUAGGUGGUUGCGUAAGUCACUUGUGAAAGCCCAUGGCUAAACUGUGGGAGGUCAGGUGAUACUGCGUAGCUAGAGGGUAGUAGAGGGGUGCGGAAUUCCGGGUGUAGUGGUGAAAUGCGUAGAUAUCCGGAGGAACACCAGAGGCGAAGGCGGCGCCCUGGACUAUACCUGACACUGAGACGCGAAAGCAUGGGUAGCGA